GGGAAACUGCCUGGUGGAGGGGGAUAACUACUGGAAACGGUAGCUAAUACCGCAUAACGUCGCAAGACCAAAGAGGGGGACCUUCGGGCCUCUUACCAUCAGAUGUGCCCAGAUGGGAUUAGCUAGUAGGUGGGGUAACGGCUCACCUAGGCGACGAUCCCUAGCUGGUCUGAGAGGAUGACCAGCCACACUGGAACUGAGACACGGUCCAGACUCCUACGGGAGGCAGCAGUGGGGAAUAUUGCACAAUGGGCGCAAGCCUGAUGCAGCCAUGCCGCGUGUAUGAAGAAGGCCUUCGGGUUGUAAAGUACUUUCAGCGGGGAGGAAGGCGAUAAGGUUAAUAACCUUGUCGAUUGACGUUACCCGCAGAAGAAGCACCGGCUAACUCCGUGCCAGCAGCCGCGGUAAUACGGAGGGUGCAAGCGUUAAUCGGAAUUACUGGGCGUAAAGCGCACGCAGGCGGUCUGUCAAGUCGGAUGUGAAAUCCCCGGGCUCAACCUGGGAACUGCAUUCGAAACUGGCAGGCUAGAGUCUUGUAGAGGGGGGUAGAAUUCCAGGU
rnacentral:rRNA from 1 species